CCCCCCCUCCCUCUAUGUCCCCUCCUCCUCCUCCUCCUCCUCCUCCUCACGUCCUCCUCCUCCUCCUCCUCACCUCCUUGUUCUUCGAGUUGAAGGACCGUCAUCUUGACUCUGUUUUCAUUGGUUGGUUUUGCAAGAUGACAGAUGAAGCGUCCUGCUCCCCGUGCACCUCCUCGUCUGGAGCACCUCCUCGUCUGGAGCACCUCCUCGUCUGGAGCACCUCCUCGUCUGGAGCACCUCCUCGUCUAGGUGCACCUCCUCGUCUAGGUGCACCUCCUCGUCUAGGUGCACCUCCUCGUCUAGGAGCACCUCCUCGUCUAGGUGCACCUCCUCGUCUAGGUGCACCUCCUCGUCUAGGUGCACCUCCUCGUCUGGAGCACCUCCUCGUCUGGAGCACCUCCUCGUCUGGAGCACCUCCUCACGCCCCAGCUCUGCCAAAGUCAAUAUAAAGGAAUGAUAACUCCAAAGCUCUGAGACAGGUGUCUUGUCUGCAGCCUGUCGGUCUGUCUGUCUGUCUCUCUGUCCGUCUCUCCGUCUCUCUGUCUGUCUGUCUGUCUGUCUGUCUGUCUGUCUGUGUGCCUUCCUGUCCGCCCGCUCUUAAAUCAUUCAGGAUUUUGCACUGAGGAUUUCAUAGGAUUGUAUUUAUUUGGACAGGAAGUGGAGGCACCACAAGCCUUGUUAAGCUAUGCAUUCAUAUCCUCCUUGCUGAGCACUGUUGGUGUCCCACGCGACCAGAGAGCAGGAGGGAAGGGUUCCCUCCCCCUGACCCCAGAGCAGCGUUCUGCCGGGUCGCUGCCUUAUUUUGAUCUUGAAUGUAAACGCUACUCAAUCUGAACCCGCCUAGAUCAGCUCGCCUUUUUUUUUAAGAACACUGUUGAUGUCGACUUGAUGAUGGCAUUACAUCACGCACACAUGCUGGAACCUGGAUGAAAUGUAUUGAUCUAACCGAGGAAACGUUGCAAUAAAACCAGUGACCGAUACGAGAAA